rnacentral:rRNA from 1 species
CGUGUAGGCGGACUUGAAAGCGAGGUGUGAAAGCCCUGGGCUCAACCCAGGAAGUGCACUUCGAACUGCGGGUCUUGAGUGCGGGAGAGGGAGGUAGAAUUCCCGGUGUAGAGGUGAAAUUCGUAGAUAUCGGGAGGAAUACCGGUGGCGAAGGCGGCCUCCUGGACCGACACUGACGCUGAGACGCGAAAGCGUGGGGAGCAAACAGGAUUAGAUACCCUGGUAGUCC